UUCAAGCGAGCUUGAAGGAUUAUUUCCUUGAAAAGAAAGAUCAUGAGAGCUUUUAAGAAGCUCUCUUGAUGGAGGGGAGCGGCAGACGGGUGAGUAACGCGUGGGAAUCUACCCAUCCCUACGGAACAACUCCGGGAAACUGGAGCUAAUACCGUAUACGCCCUUAGGGGGAAAGAUUUAUCGGGGAUGGAUGAGCCCGCGUUGGAUUAGCUAGUUGGUGGGGUAAAGGCCUACCAAGGCGACGAUCCAUAGCUGGUCUGAGAGGAUGAUCAGCCACAUUGGGACUGAGACACGGCCCAAACUCCUACGGGAGGCAGCAGUGGGGAAUAUUGGACAAUGGGCGCAAGCCUGAUCCAGCCAUGCCGCGUGAGUGAUGAAGGCCUUAGGGUUGUAAAGCUCUUUCACCGGAGAAGAUAAUGACGGUAUCCGGAGAAGAAGCCCCGGCUAACUUCGUGCCAGCAGCCGCGGUAAUACGAAGGGGGCUAGCGUUGUUCGGAAUUACUGGGCGUAAAGCGCACGUAGGCGGAUAUUUAAGUCAGGGGUGAAAUCCCAGAGCUCAACUCUGGAACUGCCUUUGAUACUGGGUAUCUUGAGUAUGGAAGAGGUAAGUGGAAUUGCGAGUGUAGAGGUGAAAUUCGUAGAUAUUCGCAGGAACACCAGUGGCGAAGGCGGCUUACUGGUCCAUUACUGACGCUGAGGUG
rnacentral:rRNA from 1 species